GUAGCAGGAUGAAAUGCUGCACCUGCUACACAGGUGUUGGCAAUCCAGGGGAUUGCCAAAGGGGUGUGGUGGAGCCAAUAAAAGGCAGAGUUGCUUUGUGCUUGCACACUGCACUCUGACGAGGGGACGCAGCAAUGUGCUACAGGUUCCAGGCCCAGUCAGUGGGGCACCUGAAACCUGGUGACGGACCUGUAGCACCAGGGUCCCCUCUCCACCGCACCCGGAGAGCAUGUGAUUUGGCAGGGUAGACGGGUCAGACGUGAGCCCCUGCUGCUUUGCCUGGUUUGUCUACUUUGCCUGUUUUUUAUCUUCUUGUUGGUUUCUGCUCCUGUGCUGUGCGGCCAAACUGAAGCCCUGCCUGGACACCCCCUCCCCGUCAGCGGCUUCAGGCCUCCGGCUCGCCCUCCCCGUCAGCGGCUUCAGGCCUCAGGCUCGCCCUCCCUUCAGCGGCUUCAGGCUUCUGGCGCACCCCUGGACUUUAUGGACGGUUGCCUUUUUAUUUUUAUAACUUUUAUUAAACUUUGUUCAGGUGUGAGUGGGAAGGUGUGCAUGGUUGCCCUACUUACUGGUUUUAUUCUCUUUUCAGGGAAGUGCUUGGCAGAGCGUGUUGGCCGACGACGGUGGAGG